UUGCACUCACUCUGUCCUGCCACCCUGUGAAGAAGGUGCCUGCUUCUCCUUUGCCUUCCAGCAUGAUUAGACGAAGUUUCGCCAUGUUGCCCAGGCUGGUCUCAAACUCCUGGGCUCAAGUGAUCCGCCUGCCGCCCAAAGCGCUGCAAUUACAAGCAUGAGCCACCACGCCCAGCCGUGAAAAAUUAAUUCUUAAAAAAGCCGUGUUUAGCUCAGCCAUCCCCCACUGAAGCGAACUGUGUCAGUGCACUGUCAGAUGCAGCUUUGGAAGACAAUUGCUGUCCCUGCUGGCUUCUUCCCUCACGUGCCUGUGUUUCAAUGCCUGAGGGCUCCUCUGAGCCCACACACAGGACUGGCCAGAAUUGCUGGGAGGUAACACCCCAGGACAGCCUCAACAGAUGAGGGCUAGGAGCUGGUGAGUCCACCCGCCAGCCUCCUCACCGCUGCACAGUCUCUCAGAGGGGCCUUCACAGGACUGCGGCCCAGUUGUCCUCUGAGGUAUCCUGCUCGGCAAUGUGCCCUAUGUGGCUUUUCUCUCUUCCCUGUCUCACUUCCUUACUCUGCCUCCUAGAAUCAUUUCUUAAAUAGAUGAUUUGCCCAAAAUCCUUUGCCUCAGGGUCCACUUUUGGGCUAACCGAACUAAGACAUCUACAAAAUUUUAGAUAGGAAUAGACUUUAAAGGGAUCCUUUGACUUUUUUUUUUUGAAACAGCAUCUCACUCUGUCACCUAGGCUGGAAUGCGGUGGCGUGAUCUUAGCUCACUGUAACCUCCGCCUCCCAGGUUCAAGCAAUUCUCCUGCCUCAGCCUCCCGAGUAGCUGAGAUUCCACACGCCUGACAUCACACCUGACUAAUUUUUGUAUUUUUAGUAGAGACAGGGUUUCUCCAUGUUGGCCAGGUUGGUCUUGAACUCCUGACCUCAGGUGAUCCGCCCGCCUUGGCCUCCCAAAGUGCUGGGAUUACAGGUGUGAGCCGCUGUGCCCAGCCUCCUAUUGCUACUUUUUAACAGAAAUCUCUGUGUCUGACUCAGACCCAGAGAAAAGAAACCACAGUGAUCAGAGUCAUACACAAGGGGGUGCCCUCUAGCAGGUUCGCCUGAGGUUGUCCGCCUCCCGCCUCAUGCUAUUAACAUUCCAUAAACACGCCAUGGCAGAGAGCAGGGCACUGCUGAAGGUUUACAUGCGGUAACUGAUUUCAUUCUCACAACAACCACGUGAGAUGAGUGCUGUUACUGUCCUCAUUUUACAGAGGAGAAACCGAGCAUUUAAACUAAUUUGACCAAGGGCAUAGGGCUAGAAAGGUGGUGUUUAAGAACAUCCCAGUGCUUUCUAGCCCUUUCUAAUCCAAGGGCUAGAAUGCUGGAAUUGGGAUUCCAGCCCAGGCAGCCUGGUUCCAGAUUCAAGGACACAGCCCUGAGCAUGUGAGGGUAUCUGAGAGCUGCCUGCUUGAUUUGGGGGUUACCAUGUGUAGAGAAAGGAAAGAAGAUGGUCUAUGUAACAUCUUCAAAUGCUUGAAGGCUUUGAGCAAUGAACCUCCUUGGUGGUUGGGUGAAGAAUUCUAUAAUGAGUGGAUUCUUUCCCAGAAUAGUACUUUUUUUUUUUUUUUUUUGAGACAACUUCUUGGCUCUGUCACCCAGGCUGGAGUGCAGUGGUACAAACACAGCUCAGUGCAGCCUCGACCUCCCGAGCUCAAACAGUCCUCCCACCGCAGACUCCUGAGUAGCUGGGAUCACAGGCACGCACCACCACAACCAGCUAAUUUUUUCAUUAUUAUUAUUUUUAGUAGAGACAAGGUCUUACUGUGUUGCCCAGGCUAGUCUCAAACUCCCGGACUCAGGCAGUCCUCCUGCUUUGGCCCCUUAAAGUGUUGGGAUUACAGGCAUGAACCACCAUGCCCAGCCAGAAUAGUAUUUUUAAGUGCAUAAAAGAAAACACAUAGGAUUACAAAGGAAACCAAUUAUACUGAAAUGCACUUAUCAAAAUGUUCCCCCAAACUGUGACACAGCAAUACAGUGCUCCUUUGGUAUACACAGGGAACUGGUUCCAGGACCCCUGAGUACACCAAAAUACCUAAAUCUGGGCAUACUCAAGCUCUGCAGUCAGAUCUGCAGAACCUGCGUAUACAAACAGGCCUCCAUUUACAGGGGUUUGCAUCUCAUGAACGCUGUAUUUUCCAUCCACAAUGGGUGGUAAAAACUCCACGGUUAAGUAGAUCUGUGCAAUUCAGAGCUGUUAUCCAAAUAUCCAACUGUAUAUGCAUCCAUUCUAUGGGAGUGAUUACACGUGAGAAUGGGCUCCAUAAAAGUGUCAAUUCUCUGUCAUUAGACACUGACAGGAAUAGGCUGAGUUGACCAAAUGGCUGGAUGCUUUCAAGAUAGACAUCAGAGGCAACCUCCACCUUCAUUAACUUUCUGUUUCUUUUUUUUUCUUUUGAGAUGGAGUCUUGCUGUUGGGAAAAGCUGAGUGUUGGGAGAAGCUGAGGCAGGGCUUGCACGUCUGACAUAAUGUAAAAGAGUCUUGGAACGUGUCCAGGGUCCAUGGUCUAAAACUCCUUGUGGCCUUUGGAACACCAAGCUCUGUGCUAAAGGGUGGAAGGCUGCCCUGGCACAACAUAAUCUAAGCCCAGGGCAUAAAAUCCCUCAUGGCUUGGAUAGACUCCAGGGCUCGUGGCUCUGGAAUGUGUCUAGACUUGCUGGCUCCUUGCUCGUUGCUCUCCCAGGAUCGAUUGUAUCUUGAGUUAAAAGAACCUGCUCUCCAUUAUCUCAAGUAGCAGAGCAAAUGCUAAACCAUCACAGCUGUAAAUCAUGUGCUUAAUGCAACGCACCCUUUUGACCUCCACAUUCUCACCACCUGUUUCUUUGUUGGAUUACCAAUAAAUAGUGUGGGCUCCCAGAGCAUGGGGCCUUUGCAGCCUCCACAAUCGCGAUGGUCCCCUGGUCCCACUCAUCUCUCUCAAACUGUCUUUUCUCAAUCCUUUGACUCCACCGGACUUUGUCACCCCCACGAACUGGUGUUGGGUCUGAUCACCCCAACACUUGCUCUGUUG
rnacentral:lncRNA from 1 species